GAUGAAGAACGCAGCUAAAUGCGAUAAGUAAUGUGAAUUGCAGAAUUCAGUGAAUCAUCGAAUCUUUGAACGCACCUUGCGCCCUUUGGCCAUUCCGAAGGGCAUGCCUGUUUGAGUAUCAUGAACACCUCAACUCUUCAUGGUUUUCCAUGAUGAGCUUGGACUUUGGGGGUCUUGCUGGCCUGUGGGUCGGCUCCUCUCAAAUGAAUCAGCUUGCCGGUUUUUGGUGGGCAUCACAGGUGUGAUAACUAUCUACGCUUGUGGUUUUCCACCAGGGUAACCUUCAGCAGUGGAGGUUCACUGGAGCUUACAAAUGUCUCUCCUCUGUGAGGACAGCCCUUUGAAUGUUUGAUCUCAAAUCAGGUAGGACUACCCGCUGAACUUAAGCAUAUCAAUAAGCGGAGGA
rnacentral:misc_RNA from 1 species